CAAAAAAAUGAAUGAGGUGGGUUGUGCACUUUAUACUAUUUUUUUAUUUUCAGUUUACUUAAAAUACAUGUCUUUGUUAAGUUAAAAUAUUUUUUUCUAAUAAAGUCCAUGUAAUUGUGUCUCUCGUUAUCUGUACAAAAUAUUAAUGUGUUGUUUAAUCACAAAAUAUUUAAGUUAAGUGAAUUAGGAUUGAGAUACUUGCAUCCAGAAGGUGGCCGUAAUACAACGCCAGAUGCCGUAAAACCCCAAAGAACAAGAUGAUUAAGAUGCUUCAGACUGCACAUGCGCAAGGCCACUUGACUGCUCCUAGUUUCCCUCCAAAUCUUCAUUGAGUUAAUUUUGUUGGUCUUCGUUUUCUGAGUUGAAAGAGAUAUCAGGCUUAUUUUGACUGAUCCCGGUCAGCCGUUUCAGGGCUGUUGAAGUUCCAUCAUCUUCUUGCUGCUGCUUCAUAUUAAAAGAUUUCCAUCGGCGAACCAGCGGGAGGCUUUUAUUGUGAAGCAGGUCCUGAAUGAUGGUUCAUUGAUUCGUGCUCCCUCCUGUCUGGCCAAGGCGCUGUACUCAUAACAGGUACGAUCACAACUAGCUACUUAAUUACUGCGAAUCGGGUUGUCAGUAUUUUUAUUUUUAGAAACAUUUAUUAGAUGACAGCUUCAUUCUCUUGCUCUCAUUUUGAAUAGCUUAUUUAUUUUUACAUCUCUAGUUCUCUUAAAAGCAAGUAAUGAAUUUCAUUAGUUGAUGGCUCCUGUUAACUCCUGUUGAAUUUCUGAUCCUGGCUGUGAUAGCCUUUAUCUGCUCUCUCCUUCAUUGAUGUGGUGUAGGCGGCACUGCUGAGCUUGCGCGUGGUAUGUUAACAGUCAGACUUUUCUAAAGAAAACUGUUUUACAAGUUAAGCUUCCUUUACUGAUAUCACUUUGUUGUUGUUUUUUCCCAGAUUUGAAUAAAGGUUGCAGUUCAAAGACCUCAACUAGGGGCCAGUUACUUAAACAUUAUAGGUUAAAACAUCCACAUUAUGGGCGCAGGCACCCAUAUCCUUGCCCAUAUAUUAGUUGUCCAUGUACAUUUAAGUCAUGGAAUGCGCUCAGGUCACAUAUCUGUAGAGUCCAUAACAGAGAGACAUCACAGCAAACAUUGUCAUUUCCCACAUUCAACUGUCAUGUUUGUGGAUUCUCUGAAAUUGCCUCUGAAAAGGAGUAUUUUACUCA